rnacentral:rRNA from 1 species
AUUGAACGCUGGCGGCAGGCCUAACACAUGCAAGUCGAACGAGUGGCGGACGGGUGAGUAAUGUCUGGGAAACUGCCUGAUGGAGGGGGAUAACUACUGGAAACGGUAGCUAAUACCGCAUACCAUCAGAUGUGCCCAGAUGGGAUUAGCUUGUUGGUGGGGUAACGGGUUACCAAGGCGACGAUCCCUCGCUGGGCUGAGAGGAUGACCAGCGACACUGGAACUGAGACACGGUCCAGACGCCUACGGGAGGCAGCAGGGGGGAAUAUUGCACAAUGGGCGCAAGCGUGAUGCAGCCAUGCCGCGGGUAUGAAGAAGGCCUUCGGGUUGUAAAGUACUUUAAGUGGGGAGGCGUUACCCGCAGAAGAAGCACCGGCUAACUCCGUGCCAGCCGCCGCGGUAAUUC